CCCUGGAGCAUUGAUGAGCAUCCUUUUCCAGUUAUCCCAACACAUGAGAAAAGACAAUAUGUAAGUUUACUCUUUACCCUUUAAAAAUGAGAAUGAUUUUGUUCAGGGGAAGUCAUACAUUCUUAUACCAUACCUCACUGAUUUUACUGAACAGAUAUGCCAGGGAGAUAAUUGGGACUGUUUUUUAGUCAUUAGGCUGUUCAUGUCUGGGUGCAUUUGAGAAGCAGCACGUGAAAAUAGUUUUCUACACUUACAUUCUGGAGUUGGAUGGAGGCACCUUGAUUCCUCAAAACUCAAACAUGUAGCACAAAAGAAUUUAAGUUUAAAAGCGUUUGUCUGAAGGAAGGCAUUGGAAAAGUGAACUUAGUUUCCUUGAAUCACAAAUUCUAAGUUUAAAAAGAUCUUUUUGAUCCUUUAGUCCAAAUUACAACACAGGUAGCUGUUCCUCUACAGCAAAACCAAUAGGUGCCCAUUCUGGUCUGUGUUGGAACCUGUCCUUAACAGAAAGCUUAUGAAUUCACAAGGCUGCCCACCUCCAUUGCCAAGCAGUGCUAAUAGAAAGUUAUUCCUGAUCUGGAGCCCAAACCUACUUAGCUACAACUUCAUGUCCUCUGGGAUCACAUUCAAGAUUUACUCCAUCUUCCCUAUCAGAGCCUUUCCAAUAUGUGAAGUCAGAGACUCAGAUCCUACCUUCCUCCCAUUUCCGGGUCAGACCACACUAAUUUUAUGACGACUGUUUGGAUGGUGUGUUCCUGAUGGACUUAGCACUCUAGACAUCCUCCCUUGGCUGUACUUCAGUUUGUUGGUGACCCUCUAAAAAUAUGAUCCUGAGAAGAGCCCUCCAGAUGUACUGUGAUAAGUACAAAGCUUAGAAGUACUGUCACUUUUCUUACUACAGGCUACUAUACUUCUAAUGCAGCCUAAUGUUGACUUAGAUUCUAUUGACAGCCUGAUCACCUCGUCAAUUUAUAUGGAGCAUGAUGUCUCCCCAAAUACUUAUUGAGGGUAACUUGUCACUUGGAGGAAACAUUUGAAGGAAAAAAAAUCCACAGCCUGUAAACCAUUUCUGCUAGGAUAUCCUAGGCUGAACUUCAAAUAAAACAGCAAACCCAAAUAAAUAUUUUAAUAUAGUAUAACUCUGAUAAAUUCCAUGUCUUCUGUGAAGCACUAGCAUGCAUAAAACUAGGUAUGUUAGAGCUCCAUUUUCACCUAUUAUUAUUAAUCCUGAAUAGGAGAACACUUAUCUCCUUCAACCGUUACCAUCCUUCUCUCCUAUAGAGUUACUUUAUCAUUUAACGUGAGCCAUGAUUGAAAGGAAUUAUAUAUUUAUUUGGGCUUACCUCCCCUGGCUCCCCUGCCUUCCAACAGCCAUCCUAACUAGGGAAAUUGUGAACUCGAUUUUCUAUACCCCUUAACAACUUGGGCUCAUUAGCUGCAUUUUUGUUAGUAAGGGCUCUCCUCCUUGAUGGUGAGCAUGACUCUCACCAUUAGAGAAAGUCAAGCUGUCUUAUCCUUAAAAGUCUGUAGUAUUGGUUAUUUUCAAUCUUUGGCUUAGAAAAGCAAUUAGAUUGACUGCUCAAAUACUGAAAAGCAGCAUAGGGUUCUACCUUGAAUGAAAUAUCUUCACUAAUGCAGAUGAUCGCUCCAAGGGAAUUACUUUAAAAGUUCAUGUCAGGCACUACAUCCCAAAGCUGCUUAUGUUUCUUAAAAGCUGAAAGAAUUUUAACAAGAUUUUCUAAUUCUUAAUAACAUGAAGGAACAUUUUUUAAGACUGUUGUUCACUGCUUUAUAAUCUUUUAAACUCUGAUAAAACACAGAUUCCUUUUUACAUCCUGGUGUAAUUUGGUUGGAGAAGGGAUAUCGAUAUAUGGUUAUUAUGAAAAUGAAAGGACUAGUAGGUAUGGAAUUUUUUAGAAGCCCUGAUGUGUUCAGUGUAGCAUUACUAAAUGACUGAAAUCUAAAUAACAUUUGGCAUUAUAAUAAAAGGAAAUAAGUGACUAACCCAGACUAAGAAGCAGUGAUACUGUGCCAUAAUAGGAAUUCUAUUUCUUUGAGCUGCCAGCCUUGUGAUUGCCUUGUCUUGAAUCAGCCUCAAGAUAAUGGGGGGGGAAUCUGUUGACUUGGCAGCAAACUCAGAUAAAUAUUUUAUAUGUAUGCACUUUUACUAAUAGAUUAGUAAGUACAUUAUUUCUUUUAAAUAAAUCUUAAGUCCAGAAUUGGAGAAAUAAAUGGGCAGCUUUGUUUUAAAAGUUCUGAAGUUCUAUCAUGCUUCUGUAUGUGUGGAGCUAACCAUUUUGGAAGAGACUGCUUUUCGCUGUCCUACAGGCAGCCAUUUCUCUUCUCCCGCAGGCUCUGGCAACAUAGGGAGCACAGACCCUCUUUAACGUGCCGUUUGGAUGGUUCAUUUUCUUUUUUGUAGAUCUGCUUAUAUCUUUUCAUUACUCUUAAUGAUUCUGCAAUAUAGGGAUUAUGAGUGCCAUCUUCAUGUUUUCAUAAAUCUCAAUGCCAUGUCUUUUAAAUGCUGAGUAAACAGAAAAGCAGCUCUUUUAAGAAAUCCUGGAGGAACUUUAGAAAUCUCCCUAUUUUGAAGGCAAAGAGUAAUUUUCUUUUAAGUUGUCAUAAAAUUGUUGUGUUUUUACUUCUGCUUCCUUCUUAAUAAACAGAUCUUUUUAUAAUUAUUAAAUUAAUUCAUACUCAUUGUGAAAAAUUCAGAGAAGACAAUAAUAAGAAAAAAAAGUCCAACCAAUAUCCUACUACCCAGAAAUAAGCACCAUUAAUAUAUAUACACCACAUUUCCUUCCAGAUUUUGUUUCUGUUCUCCUCUCUCUCUCUCUCUCUCUCUCUCUCUCUCUCACACACACACACACACACACACACACACACACACACAGGGACUUGGGGAGUUUUUUGUGCAUUUUACUAAAUAAGAUCAUAACAUAUAUGUUUUUAGUAACCUGUUUUUCAUUUAACCUCACAGGCAUCUUUCCCUGUCAUGUUUCUCACUUCAAGAUGAAAUUUCCUCCGUGUCUCCAGAGGUUUGUUUCCCACCAGCUAACAAUCAGCUCCCGCCUACCGCUGUCAGGAGUAACAUACCUGGGCCCUGCUUUGGAGGGAAUUCAACUAGGACAAGGGGUUCUUGCAGCUUAUUGAAUGGGUGUGAACUCAUAGGGGGAGAAAUCAAUAGUGCACCAGGAUUUAGACAACUUAGCAAAAUGUAUGAGACAGUACUUUAGGUGAAGAAUAACCAUAGCAGCAUGGUUAACCCGUUGGUUGGCUCAAAUACAUGUUUUAUCUAAAGUUUUUGGCAGACACUAACUAGCCUGUUUAAUGAGGUUAAGAAAAUCAUUGUGGUAAUAUGGUCUUCAUGCUAGUACACCCAUUCUAUGUCCUGAAAGUUUUAAAAGCAAGCAAAAUUAAAACAGUUGCAUAGUUGCCUAUAUGGAAAUAAUCUGCAUUUUCUACUUACACCUCUAUGUGGUGAUAAAUUUGAUCAACUUUUGAUUCCACCGCAACAGGAGCUCAAUCCUCUGCCUUCAUUAGACAAUAGUCACAAUAAAUUAUUUAAUUAUAGAAGCAAAUGACUAGAAAUAACAAUAAAGAAUUAUAAAAAUUUAUCCAGAGGAUCAAAUCAAUAUUUUGAUUUAUCCAGAGGAUCAGAUCAAUAUUUUGUGUAAAAAUAACUACGUGAGUAUGAAAUAUCACUUUUAUGGGUGAAUUAUUUACCAUCUAGUGUACAAUUGGGGGGUUGUUUUUUUUCUUACAUUGGUUCAAGUUUCCUAUCAAUGAACUAAAUAUAGAAGGUAGGUAAGGGAAACCAUCUUCCUAACCUCACAUCCAACCCCAGUCCCCAGACAAUGUGACUGUAUCUACAGCACUUUCUGCUGUACUGCAAAUGUCAAACAGAAGGUGUAAUGGAUUUAAUAUUAGCGCUGGCCAAGGUGUUGAGGGAGCUGUUAAUAAUGUCACUCCAGUUAUUGAUCUGAAGCCUUUAAAAAUCAGAGAAAAGUGAGAGAUCCCCUAUUGGGGAAAGGCAUACAGUGACUGGUUUUUAUUGCCAAUAUAUUUCUACAUAUAGAGUGGCAACUUUCUGGAAUUAUGUUAUCACCAUUAAUCUCUCUGAGAUUUUUGGAGUCAUUAUAUGAUAAGAUAAUAUCAUGGAAACUGUUUUGCAUGCUAAUGCUAAAAGAUUGGACCAAAUCUUUUAGACAUAGAUACAACUUAAAAAUUUGCAUGGGGGCUACAGCAUUCAUACAAAUUGUCAAAUG
rnacentral:lncRNA from 1 species